rnacentral:rRNA from 1 species
AUUGAACGCUGGCGGCAGGCCUAACACAUGCAAGUCGAGCGAGCGGCGGACGGGUGCGUAAUGUAUGGGGGCUGCCCGAUAGAGGGGGCUAACUACUGGAAACGGUAGCUAAUACCGCAUACUAUCGGAUAACCCAUAUGGGAUUAGCUCGUAGGUGCGGUAAUGGCUCACCUGGGCCACGAUCCCUAGCCAGUCUGAGAGGAUGCUCAGCCACACUGGGACUGAGACACGGCCCAGACUCCUACGGAGGCAGCAGUGGGGAAUAUUGCACAAUGGGCGCAAGCCUGAUGCAGCCAUGCCGCGUGUAUGAAGAAGGCCCUAGGGUUGUAAAGUACUUUCAGUCGGGAGGCGUUACCGACAGAAGAAGCACCGGCUAACUCCGUGCCAGCAGCCGCGGUAAUUC